ACUCCUACGGGAGGCAGCAGUGGGGAAUAUUGGACAAUGGGCGAAAGCCUGAUCCAGCCAUGCCGCGUGUGUGAAGAAGGUCUUCGGAUUGUAAAGCACUUUAAAGUUGGGAGGAAGGGCAGUAAGUUAAUACCUUGCUGUUUGACGUUACCAACAGAAUAAGCACCGGCUAACUUCGUGCCAGCAGCCGCGGUAAUACGAAGGGUGCAAGCGUUAAUCGGAAUUACUGGGCGUAAAGCGCGCGUAGGUGGUUCGUUAAGUUGGAUGUGAAAAGCCCCCGGGCUCAACCUGGGAACUGCAUCCAAAAACUGGCGAGCUAGAGUAUGGCAGAGGGUGGU
rnacentral:rRNA from 1 species